rnacentral:rRNA from 1 species
CAGCAGCCGCGGGAAUACGGAGGAUCCAAGCGUUAUCCGGAAUCAUUGGGUUUAAAGGGUCCGUAGGCGGUCUUGUAAGUCAGUGGUGAAAGCCCAUCGCUCAACGGUGGAACGGCCAUUGAUACUGCAGGACUUGAAUUAUUGGGAAGUAACUAGAAUAUGUAGUGUAGCGGUGAAAUGCUUAGAGAUUACAUGGAAUACCAAUUGCGAAGGCAGGUUACUACCAAUUGAUUGACGCUGAUGGACGAAAGCGUGGGUAGCGAACAGGAUUAGAUACCCCGGUAGUCCAUGUCUCUUAUAA